rnacentral:rRNA from 1 species
GACGAACGCUGGCGGCGUGCCUAACACAUGCAAGUCGAGCGAAUGAAGUUCCUUCGGGAAUGGAUUUAGCGGCGGACGGGUGAGUAACACGUGGGCAACCUGCCUCAUAGAGGGGAAUAGCCUCCCGAAAGGGAGAUUAAUACCGCAUAAGAUUGUAGUACCGCAUGAUACAGCAAUUAAAGGAGCAAUCCGCUAUGAGAUGGGCCCGCGGCGCAUUAGCUAGUUGGUGAGGUAAUGGCUCACCAAGGCGACGAUGCGUAGCCGACCUGAGAGGGUGAUCGGCCACAUUGAGACUGAGACACGGCCCAGACUCCUACGGGAGGCAGCAGUGGGGAAUAUUGCACAAUGGGGGAAACCCUGAUGCAGCAACGCCGCGUGAGUGAUGACGGCCUUCGGGUUGUAAAGCUCUGUCUUCAGGGACGAUAAUGACGGUACCUGAGGAGGAAGCCACGGCUAACUACGUG